UUUCCGUAGGUGAACCUGCGGAAGGAUCAUUGUCGUU
rnacentral:rRNA from 2 species